rnacentral:rRNA from 1 species
UGACAGGCAAACGGGUGGAACCACGAAGUAUGCCUGGCAGGCAAUUCAGCUACGAUCGACGGUUUGUGUCGCAUGCAGUGGGUCCGUCUUUUCUGGCCAUGCUAGUGACGCAUCCAACCGGCGAUUGUAGUGCAUUUUGUCCUGCCAGUGCUAAAGCCACGUCCGAUUAGGUGGCUGGAAUGGCCGUAGUGAGCUGUCGCAAGGAAGGUGGCCGGAUAGUGCUUGCAUUAUUCGGUGUUAUAGCCUUGUGGCCGUGCCAUUGCCUAGCGUGCUGAUCGGUGUAAAAACUCCGAAAGGAGUAUUGCCAGUAAUGGGCUGUUGUGCUUUGCGGUGCCAUGUGUGUCGUGCCAUUUUGCGCUUUCGUGUCUUCGGGCUCGUAAAGACGGAGUGGUAUCGUGUGCUCAUUGGUGUCGAUUGCAUGAGCGGCUUGCGCAAACUGUGGUGCGAGUAGGUCGGUCUCCACCCGACCCGUCUUGAAACACGGACCAAGGAGCCUAACACACACGCAAGUCGCACGGUCUUGUUUAGGCCUGUGAGGCGUAAUGAAAAUAAACUGCUAUGAGGUUGUGCGCUCAAAAGGCAAGCAAUCGCAAUAGCGGCCUGCCUACUUCCUUUAUCGGGGAUAUGGUGGAGCUGGAGCGUGUGCGUUGGUACCCGAAAGAUGGUGAACUAUGCCUGGGCAGGACGAAGCCAGAGGAAACUCUGGUGGAGGUCCGUAGCGAUUCUGACGUGCAAAUCGAUCGUCAGACCUGGGUGUAGGGGCGAAAGACUAAUCGAACCAUCUAGUUGCUGG